rnacentral:rRNA from 1 species
GAAACUCGCCUAUAUGAAGUCGGAAUUGCUAGUAAUCGCAGAUCAGCAUGCUGCGGUGAAUACGUUCCCGGGCCUUGUACACACCGCCCGUCACACCCAUGAGAGUCGAUAACACCCGAAGCCUGUAGUCUAACCAUAAGGGGGACGCAGUCGAAGGUGGGAUUGAUGAUUGGGGUGAAGUCGUAACAAGGUACC